rnacentral:rRNA from 1 species
AACGAACGCUGGCGGCAGGCCUUACACAUGCAAGUCGAACGGACAUAUUUAUAUGUCAGUGGCGGACGGGUGAGUAACACGUGGGAAUAUACCUUUUAGUUUGGAAUAACGUUGGGAAACUAACGCUAAUACCGAAUGUGCUCGAGAGAGGAAAGAUUUAUCGCUAAGAGAUUAGCCCGCGUUAGAUUAGCUAGUUGGUGAGGUAAAGGCUCACCAAGGCGACGAUCUAUAGCUGGUCUGAGAGGAUGAUCAGCCACAUUGGGACUGAGACACGGCCCAAACUCCUACGGGAGGCAGCAGUGGGGAAUAUUGGACAAUGGGCGCAAGCCUGAUCCAGCCAUGCCGCGUGAGUGAUGACGGCCUUAGGGUUGUAAAGCUCUUUUACUCGGGAAGAUAAUGACUGUACCGAGAGAAUAAGCCCCGGAUAACUUCGUGCCAGCAGCCGCCGUAA